AGAGCGAACGCUGGCGGCGUGCUUAACACAUGCAAGUCGAACGCGCAGCAGUUUGUAGCAAUACAGAUUGUGGGCGCGUGGCGAACGGGUGCGUAACACGUGGAUAACCUUCCUUCAGGUGGGGAAUAACCCAGUGAAAAUUGGGCUAAUACCGCAUAACAUGACGAUGGCUCAUGCCGUUGUCUUCAAAGGCGCAAGUCGCCAGAAGAGGGAUCCGCGGCCGAUUAGCUAGUUGGCGGGGUAACGGCCCACCAAGGCGAAGAUCGGUA
rnacentral:rRNA from 1 species